rnacentral:rRNA from 1 species
CCUUUCUCCUUCUGCCCGCUAGCUACAGGCUUAACACAUGCAAGUCGAGGGGCAGCAUGGAAGAAGCUUGCUUCUUCUGAUGGCGACCGGCGCACGGGUGCGUAACGCGUAUCAAACCUGCCUCAUACUCGGGGAUAGCCUUGCGAAAGUAAGAUUAAUACCCGAUGUUAUUAGUUCAUCGCAUGGUGGACUAAUCAAAGAUUUAUCGGUAUGAGAUGGUGAUGCGUCCGAUUAGGUAGUAGGCGGGGUAACGGCCCACCUAGCCUUCGAUCGGUAGGGGUUCUGAGAGGAAGGUCCCCCACACUGGAACUGAGACACGGUCCAGACUCCUACGG